AUGGCUCAGGAUGAACGCUAGCGGAGGCUAACACAUGCAAGUCGAGGGGCAUCACGGGGUAGCAAUACUCUGGUGGCGACCGGCGCACGGGUGAGUAACGCGUAUGUAACCUACCCUGUACAGGGGGAUAGCCCGGAGAAAUUCGGAUUAAUACCCCAUAAAGAUAUUUAGAGGCAUCUUUAGAUAUUUAAAGUUUCGACGGUACGGGAUGGGCAUGCGUAACAUUAGCUAGUUGGUAAGGUAACGGCUUACCAAGGCGACGAUGUUUAGGGGUCCUGAGAGGGUGAUCCCCCACACUGGUACUGAGACACGGACCAGACUCCUACGGGAGGCAGCAGUGAGGAAUAUUGGUCAAUGGGCGUAAGCCUGAACCAGCCAUCCCCCGCGUGAAGGAAGAAGGCGCUAUGCGUUGUAAACUUCUUUUCCAGGGGAAUAAAAUUUUGUACGUGUACGAAACUGAAGGUACCCUGGGAAUAAGCAUCGGCUAACUCCGUGCCAGCAGCCGC
rnacentral:rRNA from 1 species